CUUCAGUGAAGUUAAUCCGCACAUGUGUCGACACGAUUUUCUGGGUGCCUCUCGCAGGUUGAAAGUCGGGAUACAUGGAGGCCCAAC
rfam:Solemya pervernicosa gill symbiont isolate Sp-SM6 Selarraichensis_sym_scaffold75, whole genome shotgun sequence.